UGGUGGAGUGAUUUGUCUGUUAAUUCCGUUAACGAACGAGACCUUGACCUGCUAAAUAGUUUCAUGUCGCCUUGGUCAGGUGGAAAACUUCUUAGAGGAACUUUGUGUGUCUAAUGCAAGGAAGUUUGAGGCAAUAACA
rnacentral:rRNA from 1 species